UCUUUCCCGUCUUCCGGUGGGCCUGGAUCCUAAGUUCGAUCAGGAGGAGAUUAUGUGUUUUCAUUUGGAUGUGGUGUCCCGCCAAGCAGUUGACGGCUUCCCGAUCACUAGUUCUAGAGCCACCAGGGAAAUGGCAGCUGACCCGGUUCUCCGGCAAGUAGUUCGCAUCGUUCAGCAGGGGUGGUCAUCCCGACCUCCAGGCCGGGUCUCGGACCCUCUUCGUAAUUAUUUUGUUCUACGAGACCGCCUCUCAGUCUUGGAAGGAGUUCUCCUUCUGGCUACUGAUGAUACAGCUCCUCGCGUGGUUGUUCCUGCAAGUUUGUGAAGGGAGGUCCUCACGUUAUUACAUGAGGGGCACUGGGGUGUAUCCCGUACUAAAACCUUGGCUCACAGACAUGUGUACUGGCCUGGUAUUGACAGACACAUUGAGCAUUUGGUGGCCGCCUCUUCCCAGUAUGUGAGCCAACAGGCGUCUCCCAGGUCAGUGUUCUCUUCAUGGCCGCCUGCAACCCGGGCAUGGGAACGUGUUCACAUAGAUUUUGCAGGCCCGUUUCGCAAUGGCUUUUGGCUCAUUGUCAUUGAUGCUUAUUCCCAAUUCCCAUAUGUGGUUCGCUGCCCCUCAACCACUUCAGAAGUUGCAAUCCAGGCACUCACAAAAAUCUUUUCUGUGAAAGGCCUGUCAGUCACCCUGGUAUCGGACAAUGGACCUCAGUUUAUUUUGCAGGCCUUCCUGGAUUUUUGUAGGCGCUUCGGUAUUUGGCACGUUUGCUCUCCCCCCUUUCAUUCACAAUCAAAUGGGGAAGCCGAGCGCAUGGUGCGCACAUUUAAGACGCAGAUGAAAAAGUAUGUGCACGAAUGUCCUGCAGAGGAGGCAUUGACGUUUUUCCUGACGGCAUACCAGACCACACCGAUGGGAGAAUGCAGCCUCACAGAGCUCCUCCACGGGCGCCAACCUAGGACUCUGCUGCACCUCCUCCAGCCUGGUCCUCGCCAGUCUUCGCAAAACGGGGUACCCGGCUUUCCACCGGGUAUGUGGGUCUGGGCACAUGGGUUUGGUCGCAAUCUACAUUGGAUACCAGCGGUGGUCCUGUACUGCAAUGGCCACAGGCUCUAUACCUUGCAGGCGGGGGACCGGGAGGUACAUCGUCACCAAAAUCAGCUAUGUCCAUGUUUUGGCACCCACCCUCCAACCCCUCAGGCACUGGCUUCCCCAUUGCCGGCACCCGUGUUGUUUUCUCAGGGGAUGCUACCGCCCCUCCCUCCUGUGACUCCGCCACACUGCAUUGGUUCUCAGCCUUGGCGGCCUCCAGUAGCUCCAGCAUCGGCAUUGCCAUCGUUAGAGAUGCCCCGGCGAGAGCCGGCCCUCCUCGCAGGCCCGGUUUCUCAGGAGGCUGGUUCAUCUGUGGUCGUGCCUUCCCCAUCAUCCCCACCACUGGGUCUUGCCCCUCCCAAGGUGAAAUGGGAUCCGGAGUUCGACAGCUUGUCGCCCGUUCUGUCCCGGGGUCCGGUGGUGGGACGACGGGGGCCUCUUCUUGUGGGUCACUUCCAACCGUAUUCGAAGUUUUUGGCUGGAGGGUUGGCAGAUCCCCCCAACUCCAGCAUUCCAAUGGAAGUGGAGGCCAUCGCUACUGCACGAUGCUCCACCUUCCAACACAGUGGAUCACAGUGGCUUCACCCCCCGAAGGAGGAGGAGUGCAGUAGCCACCAGAAAGAUUGUGGGAGGCGCACAUCGGUACGGUGUGUCACGGACAGUAGUGGCUGCAAGUAAAGUCCCGUCCACCAGAGGGCACGCAAGAAUUUGGCCGCGCCCUCUGCCGGAGAAACAACAACAACUCUGGCAGCACGGGUAGUGUCCAGUCAGUUUUACAUCGGGCAUGCCUAGCAGACAGUUCCCGGUCUACACUAUGUGAAGUGCGAUGGACAACGAGAAUUGUGUUAAUACAGAGAAGGUGGAUGUUAAAAAUUCAUAGAGACCAUACCAGAGAAUAUAUGGAAGAAAAAUGUAAGGAGCUUCUUUAUGAACCAUUUGGACAGUCUGAUAACUUCUGCAAGAUGAGCUACACUGAUUUUGAAUAUUUGGUGAAUGAAAUUUCACCUACGAUUUCGAAGAAAAGUACAGACUUCAGAGCAGCUAUACCAGCUAAAUAUCGUCUGGCAAUAACACUAAGAUAUUUAGCAUCCAGAGACAGUUACAAGAGUCUACACUAUUUGUUUAAAGUAUCCACCCAGGCCAUAUCAAAAAUUAUACCUGAAGUCUGCAGAGCUCUUAAUAACAUUCUGAAAGUUGAAAUAAAGAUGCCCUCUACAGCGGAAGGGGAUGCAGCAGUAAAUUCCCACAUUGUGGCAUCGUUGGAUGGCAAACAUAUAGUUAUCGAGAGUCCACCUCAUAGUGGAACUGAAUAUUUCAACUACAAGAAAACUUUCAGUAUAGUGCUUUUGGCAUUAGUUGAUAGUAAUUAUAACUUUGUAUUUGUUGACAUAGGAUGUCAAGGGAGGAUUAGUGAUGGUGGUGCUUUUAACAAUUCAUUAUUAUGGCAAAGAAUCUGCAGAAAUGAAAUGAACUUCCCCACACCAUGCCCACUCCCUGGAUCGAACAAUAACGUAAACGUGCCAUAUGUAUUUUUAGCAGAUGGUGCCUUUGCACUCAGUACGCAUGUUAUGAAACCUUACCCUGGACAUCAUGAGACUGUAUUGCCAAAAAGAAUAUUUAACAAACAAUUGCCUAGAACCCAGGUUGGAGUGGAGAAUACUUUUGGCAUUUUAACUUCAGUGUUCAGAAUUUUAGGAGACCUAUUAAUUUGGAUCUCAAAACUGUGAAAGAAAUUACUAUGACCUGUGUGCUACUACAUAACUUUCUCAGAAAAAGUAGAUCUUCUUCAGAAAGAUAUAUUCCCCCUGGAACUUUGGAUCUAUGGGAUAGUAAUGGGAAUCUGAUAACACCUGGUGCAUGGUGGAAUAUAACAGAAUACAAUGCAAUACAAAAUUUGCCACUUGUACCUCGAAGAUCACCGCUAAAUGCCAUCAAGAUUAGGGAUGAAUUUACUUCAUACUUUUGUAGGAGUACGAAUGCUUCAUGAGGAGUUCUGACUUCUUAAUUUUAGAGCAUGUACUUCAUAUUAUAGAAACAGUAAAAAUCAAAACUGAUAGAUUCCAAAAUUUUGCUUAGUGUAUCUGAGUUCAAACCAAUCUUGUUGGUAUAUAGCAGCAAAAGAAAUGAUUCCACAAGCUGGUACGCAAACCAAACUGAUUCGUAAAUAUCUUCGACUCCGGAGGGAAAAUUAUUAUUACUUAUU